UACGAAAGGUGCAAGCGUUGUUCGGAAUGACUGGGCGUAAAGCGCACGUAGGUGGGCUUGUAAGUCGGAUGUGAAAGUCCCAGGCUCAACCUGGGAAUGGCACCCGAAACUAUAAGUCUUGAAUGCUUGAGAGGUUGGUGGAAUUCCAGGUGUAGGAGUGAAAUCCGUAGAUAUCUGGAGGAAUAUCGGAGGCGAAGGCGGCCAACUGGUGGUGCAUUGACACUGAGGUGCGAAAGCGUGGGGAGCAAACAGG
rnacentral:rRNA from 1 species